rnacentral:rRNA from 1 species
UACGUAGGGGGCAAGCGUUAUCCGGAUUUACUGGGUGUAAAGGGAGCGUAGGCGGUUCAGCAAGUCAGAAGUGAAAGCCCGGGGCACAACUCCGGGACUGCUUUUGAAACUGUUGAACUAGAUUGCAGGAGAGGUAAGUGGAAUUCCUAGUGUAGCGGUGAAAUGCGUAGAUAUUAGGAGGAACACCAGUGGCGAAGGCGGCUUACUGGACUGUAAAUGACGCUGAGGCUCGAAAGCGUGGGGAGCAAACAGG